GUUUGAUGAUGAUCAUGAUGAUGAUGAUGAUGAUGAUCAUGAUCAUGAUGGUGAUCAUGAUCAUGAUCAUCAUCAUGAUGAUCAUGAUGGUGAUCA
rnacentral:pre_miRNA from 1 species